CGAGUAGGCGGUUUAGUAAGUUGUAUGUGAAAUACCAGGGCUUAACUUUGGGGCGGCAUACAAGACUGAUAAACUAGAGAGCAGCAGAGGUAAGUGGAAUUUCCGGAGUAGCGGUGAAAUGCGUAGAUAUCGGAAGGAACAUCAGUGGCGAAGGCGACUUUCUGGGCUGCGACUGACGCUGAGGAGCGAAGGCAUGGGGAGCAAACA
rnacentral:rRNA from 1 species